ensembl:lncRNA
CAGAAAAUCACGCGUUUUCCCUUUGAGAAUCCCCCAUUUAUGCGAAAAUGAUGCGUUUUCUCCUCGCAAAUCCCCCAUGUAAGCAAAAAUCUCGCAUUUUCUCUUCGCAAAUCCCCCAUUUAAGCAAAAAUCACGCGUUUUCUAUUCGCAAAUCCCCCACUUAACCAGAAAAUCACGCUUUUUCCCUCGAGAAUCCCCCAUUUAAGCGAAAAUGAUGCGUUUUCUCUUUGCAAAUCCCCCAUUUAUGCGAAAAACACGCAUUUUCUCUUCUCAAAUCCCCCAGGUUUGCAAAAAUCACGCCUUUUCUCUUCAAAAAUCCCCCAUUGAAGCAAAAAUCACGUUUUCUAUUCGCAAAUCCCCCAUUUAACCUGAAAAUGACGCGUUUUCUCCUUGCAAAUCCCCCACUUAAGCGUAAAACACACGUUUUCUCUUCGCAAAUCCCCCAGUUAUGCAAAAAUCACGCGUUUUCUCUUCGAGAAUCCCCCAUUUAACCCUAAAAUCACGCGUAUUCUCUUCAGAAAUACCACAUUUAAGCGAAAAUCACGUAUUCUCUUCGAGAAUCCCCCAUUUAAGCGAAUAUUACGCGUUUUCUCUUCGCAAAUCCCCCAUUUAUCGCGAAAAACAGACGUUUUCUCUUUGCAAAUCCCCCAUUUAACCCGAAAAUCUCGCAUUUUCUCUUCGAGCAUCCCCCAUUUAAGCGAAAAACACGCAUUUUCUCUUCUCAAAUCCCCCAUUUAAGCGAAAAUCACACCUUUUCUCUUCGAGAAUCCCCCAUUUAACGUGAAAAUCACGCAUUUUCUCUUCUCAAAUCCCCCAUUGAAGCGAAAAUCACGCGUUUUCUCUUUAGAAAUCCCACAUUUAAGCGAAAAUCACGCGUUUUCUAUUCGCAAAUCCCCCAUUUAACCAGAAAAUCACGCGUUUUCCCUUCGAGAAUCCCCCAUUUAAGCGAAAAUGAUGCGUUUUCUCUCCAAGAAACCUCCAUUUAACCAGAAAAACACGCGUUUUCUCUUCAAAAAUCCCCCAUUGAAGCGAAAAUCAC